CCCACUCACCUCUUCAGUGGGAGAAUAAUGAGUAAGAAGAGGUAACUCUAAAUUCUGUGAUUUUGAAUGAUAUGGUUCAACGAGAGAGCUCUAGGUGAUAGGGGGAGAGAAUUGGACGUUUAAAAAAGUCAGAUUUGAGGAGGUAUUCAAGGAGAGACAAGGUAGAAGCCAUUAUGCAGUCUACUCAGAGUCAAAAAACUUUUUCUGGUGAGUUAUCCAUAACUCUUAAAUGCUCUAAUGAUGAAUAAACCCAUUGCACAAAAAAAAGGUGUCAGAUCUUGUACUAAACACCUUAUUUCUAACUUUGUUUCUUAUGAAUCAUUAGUCUAUUUCCUCUGUGUCUAUUCCACAGGAUUGGAAGGAAGCUCUUGCAGAUCCUAAAUGGAAGGGAGCAAUGAUUGAAAGGACGAAAGCACUGGCAAAAAAUGAGAUCUGGGAGCUUGUCACUCUCCCGCCUGGGAAGAACUUGUUGGCUGUAAGUGAGUAUUCACAAUAAAACACAAAACUGAUGCCACAAUUGAACGGUUUAAGGUCAGAUUGGUUACUAAAGAAUUCACCUAAAUUUAUGGAGUGGAUUAUCAAGAAAUAUUUGCUCUAGUUGUAAAAAUGAGCUCAGUUAGAGUCCUAUUAUCUUAUGCAACCAACUUGGACUGGGACCUACAACAGUUUGAUGUGAAGAAUACUUUCCUCCAUGAAGAUUUAGAGGAAGAAGUGUUCAUGGAGAUCUCUCUUAGGUUCGCUGAUGAGAAGACACAAGGAAAGAUGUACAAAUUAAAAAAGGCUUUGUAUGGAAUCUCCCAGAGCUUGGUUUGAUAGGUUUAGCAAAACCAUGAUGUCCUUUGGUUAUCAACAGAGUAAUGCUGAUCACACUCUGUUUGUUAAAUAUCACAAGGUAAGAUCACCCUUCUUAUUGUGUAUAUUGAUGAUACAGUGGUGACAGGUGAUAACAAAGAGGAAAUGACUCAAUUAAAAAGGUUGUUGGUUCAAGAAUUUGAAAUCAAAGAUCUAGGAAAGCUUCAAUAUUUCCUAGGUAUUGAGGUGGCUAGAUCAAAAAAGGAAUCUUUAUCUACCAAAAAAAGUACAUUCUGAACCUUUUAGAAGAAAUUGAUAUGUUGGAGUGUAAAUUGAUAGGGAGGUUGAUUUAUCUCUCACACACUCAACUGAAUAUAAUCUAUGCUGUUAGCUUAGUCAACCAAUUCAUGCAUGACCCUCGCGAGACUCAUAUGCAGGUUGUCCUUCACAUCUUGAGAUACCUUAAGUUUGCGCUAAGGAAAGGGCUUUUUUACUCCAAUCAUAGUCACUUUCGAGUUGAAGCUUUUACAUAUGCAGAUUGGGCAAAAUCUCUCAAUGACAGGAGAUCCACCUCUAAUUACUGCACAGUUGUGGGAGGGAAUCUUGUCAUCUAGAAAAGCAAAAAAUAAAGUAUUGUUGCUCAGUUAAGUGCUGAAGUAGAAUAUAGAGUAAUGGCCCAAGGUGUGUGUGAGCUUUUGUAGUUGUAAAAGUUAUUGAAGGAGUUGAGGUUGCCUGAGAGAGACAAGAUAAUUUUGUAUUGCGACAACAAAGCCGCCAUUAGUAUAGCAUAAAAUUCAGUUCAGUGUGACCAAAAGAAACAUAUUAAGAUUGAUCAACACUUCAUUAAAGAAAAAUUAACAGACAGGGUUUUGAGUUUAGUUCAUCUGACUUAUACUGGACAACUUGUGGAUGUGUUCACUAAAGAGCUCAACAAUAGAAUCUAGCAUAAUCUGAUUUGCAAGUUGGGCAUAUGCGAUAUAUAUGUACCAACUUGAGGGGAGUGUUGAUUUAUUUGAUAUGAUUUGAUUUGAUUAUGCAUUCUAAGCAUAAAUUAGAAUCUUUAAUUAUCUCUGUAAUUAUUUUUUGAUUAUUUACUCUUUGUUUAGUUGUAAUUUUUUGUGUAUAAAUAAUCAUGUAAAUCACUUAUAAAGAUUAAGAGUGAAAUACAGGAAUACUCUAAAAUUCUUGGAUAUAUAUAAACAUGGCAAUCACCUCUAAUGGGGUUGUUUUAAUUCUUGGGAACAUUUGCCUUUAUGAAAUCGAAUGACAGGGAUUCGCAUGUUCGGGAUCUUAUUCUUUGCUUUUCCAAAUCUUAUUUUGAUCUACCAUCAAAAGUGAAAAAAAAUGAAAUUGGCAAAGUGGGAAACUGUUAUCACAAAAGUCCUCAUAACUGAUGUAAUGAAACGUCCUUGAGAACUAUAAUGAAAAGCUAGACUUGUUUAAGAUGAAAAAAUAAAGUGGACAAUUUCAUUUUAAUUUUCUAAUGGUCUUCCGAACUGCCAAAAAAACUUUGCAGUUGUGCAUUAGCAAGUAGGAAUCAUAUCAUUCAAGACAAAAGAUUUUGCAUUAAUUUUCGUGCUAUAUCAUUUAAGAAGGGAGGAUUCACUUUUUUAUAAGACGAGGUUCCUCUAGAUGAGAGAUGAAUGAAUAAAGGAAUUGUAAAUAUGAAAGCAAAUUCUACCUGGCAAAGCUGAAAAGUUACAUUUGGUUUAUUGGAUUGGACAGGAAAGCCCCGUGUUUUUUCUCCUGUUCAGUCCUUCAGUCCCCUUCUCUGUUUUCUUUUCCCUUACUAGACAAUUUAUCCAGUCCAAUGGCUGAGAUUGUUAGCAUUCCUCGUCAACAUACCCCUUUCUUCUUUUAAAUAAAAAUGAAGUUUCUUCAAUAUUUGUGUGCUAUUGUUAAAUUUGAUUCCUGUAUAUCGAUGAUUGAAGACUGUCUGGAAUGUCAGCAUUACGUGGUUGCUAAUAGUAAUUUGCUGCUUGAAUUAUUUCAUAAAAGAUUGUAGAAUUUCUUCAUAUUGUUGGUAUUUUGGUUACCUAGCUUUGUAUUGAAUGCCCUGUGCUCUAUAUGAGUUAUCCUAAAAUUGAAACUGGUGGUGUUUGUUGAGUAAACAAGAGACAGUAACGUUUGUAUUCUCUCUUCCUUUUCUUUUUUUUUUUCAUCUUGCAGUUACUGAACUUCCAGAUACUGUAUUCCUUCUAGAGGAUUGCCCCCAUGAUUGGUUGUUUCCCCAGUGUGCUGCUGUGGUGAGUUAUUAUUAUUAGAGAAAUUUACUAUUUAGUCCCUAUAUUAUAUGGAAACUCAUUAGUUGGUCUAUCAGUUUUGUAAAAUACAUUAGAUUGUCCCUGAGAUUUUAAAAGUUUGCUAAUUAAUCAUUCUGUUAGUUUUAGCCGUUAAAUAUUUUACUAUUUAGGCUCUAUAAUUUAGAAAAACUAAUUAAUUGGUCGCUCAUGUUUGUAAAAAAAUCUACUAAUUAAUCUCUCCAUAUUAAAGGUAUUUUAGAUUUUUUUUAUAAUAUUUAAUGACUAAAAUUAACGGAGGGACUAAUUAGUAGAUUUUUUAAAGUUUCAAGAAUAUUUUAAUAUAUUUUUCAAAAUUGAGAUACUAAAUAAUGAGUUUUUCAAUAAUACAGGAAUUAAAUAGUAAUUUUUUUAUUAUUAUUAAUUUUUGUUGUAUUUUUUCUUAGAAAAACUUACUAUUUUGUCCCUAUGGUAUAGAAAAAUUUAUUAGUUAGUAUUUCGAUUUUAAAAAAUAUAUUAAAAUAUUCUAAAAUUUUUAAACAUAUACUACUUAGUCUUCCAUUAGUUUUAGCCUUUAAAUAUUUUAUUAUUUAUUCCAAUGGAAAAUUUCUUAGUUUGUCACUCAGUUUUGUAAAAUUAAAUUCAUACUAAUAAUCCUUUCAUAUUGAGAUCAUUUUGAACUUUUUAGAAUACUUAAUGGCUAAAAUUAACGGAAAGACUAAUUUGUACAUAUUUUAAUACCUUAAGGAUGUUUUAAUGUAUUUUUUAAAAUUAAGAGACUAAUUAAUGUAUUUUCCAAUACCAUGAGGAUAGCAAUAUUCCCUCUUUCUUAUUAUGCUUUUAAUAACUAAUACAUUUCCUUGCAAUUAAUAUAACUUUGUGCAGUUGCCAGCAUGUGCCUGCAAUUUUUUUUUUUUUACCUUUCUAGUAUAAUUCCUAGAUAGUUUUCAUUUUAUCAUAUAUGAAACUGAUAUUUUCUGCUUCUACUGAUGUAUUAGAACAAUAUAAAAGACUUGCUAAUGCAUGCUUCUAAUAGAAUGAUAUGUGGUUAAUCUAACACUAACCUUUUAUUUGCCAUGAUUCAUUUUGCAAGAAAAGAAUUCAAAUGAAUUCUUGCAAAAUCAUACAAGAUUUCAACUUCUCUUAAAAUGAAAAUUUUUUAAGUUAAAAAGAAUUGAAUUCUUUUAUUCCAAAGAAGAGAAUUGUUAGAAAAGAAAUCAAUUGGAUUGAAUUCUUACGAAAUUUUUGAUUUCAAAGAAGAGAAUUAUUAGAAAAGAAAUCAAUUGGAUUGAAUUCUUACGAAAUUUUUGAUUCCAAGGGUAAAUGUGCAGGUUCAUCACGGUGGUGCUGGAACCACAGCCGCAGGACUAAAAGCUGGGGUAAUGCUUAUUUAAUUAGUUUCCAUUUUAUGUUGCUGACUGCAUGAGUGCGUGUUUUGAUCAAAUAAUUUAACUAUAUCAGAGUGAGGUGUUAACUUGAGCAUGUACAGCUACAAACAGUUUCUUUGAUUCUCUCUCUUUCUCUCCAAUCAUUUCACCUACCAUAUAUUUUAUGCCCCCUUGUUCUUUAAUAAUAUUUCCUCUCUUCUAAAAGGAAAAAUUCUACUUCAGGAUUCUAAUGAAUAUAUGUAUUUGUUAGAUAAUAGGUAAUUGGAAAUGACAAUAGGAUAUGAUUGGUAACCUAUUUUAAACUAUGUAAUUUAAUAUUAACUAUAAUUGAAUGCUUUUAGUUUUUUAUUUUUCCUAUUGAGAAACUUCUUAAUUACAGUGCCCGACUACCAUAGUGCCAUUCUUUGGAGACCAGUUUUUCUGGGGUGAUCAAAUACAUAAACGAGGGCUGGGACCUGCACCGACGCCAAUAGCUAAGCUCAGCGUUGAGAGCCUUUCAAAUGCAAUAAGGUUCAUGCUGCAGCCAGAGGUAAUUCUGAUGUGUAUAUGUGCUCCCAAUUCAUGCAAGAGUUGAUUCCAGAGGAUGACAAUACAAUAGAUUACUCUAGCCUUUAUAUUUAAACUUCAUUUUAUAUGAUUUAUCCCAUUUAUAGUUCCAUUAGUCUUUGGAAGAUUAGAUUUCAUUGAUUGUGCAGCAAAUAUGAUGCUACUCCAUGAUGCUUAUGUUGCUUUUGAUUCAUACUCACUUUGUAGUUCAUCUCAUUAUUUUUGUCCAGUUUACUUUUUCACACAUAUUAAUAAAAAUAAUUUAUUUAUUAACUUUCUAAAUAUAUCCAUCUUAAAAAUAUUAAAUUUUAUUAAAUAAUAAAAAAUAUUUGAGAGGUUGUAUUGAAAAUAAAAUUAAAUUAAAUACGGUUAUAAUAGUCAAUUUAUAUCUUAAUCAUAUUCGCACAAUAGAAAAAAAAGGAAAGAUGUAUAAAAAUUACGGAAUAGAUGGAAUAUAUUUUUCAAUGAAAUUAGACUUCCUCCCCAUCUUAUGUGGAGUUUGUCAUAGCCAUAAACAAAUACAAGAACUUUCAUGUCCUUGCAGGCCUAGUUGUUACGAUCAAUCUUCCUUAUUUGAUUUAGCCCAUCAACUCUAUUCCUUCGCAUAUUGACCAUCACGUCUGCCAUCACCCAUUUGCAUUUGCAGCUUUCUUUAAAUGCUUCAGUCUUCCUUCACUUCUAUGAAAAUCCAAUUGUCAGUUACUAAAUGGGUACUUUCAAUUUUCUUAGGUGAAAUCUCAGGCAAUGGAACUAGCAAAGUUGAUAGAGAAAGAAGAUGGUGUUGGUGCUGCAGUUGAUGCAUUUCAUCGGCAUUUGCCUCGUGAACUUCCUCUGCCUACUGCGGCUUCUUUAGAUGAAGACAAACAUCCAGACCAUCUACAAUGGUUCUUGAUUCAACUCCAAAAGUGGUUCUGCCUGCCUUGUGGAGUAUAGGAUUCUUUCCUAUUUUUCAUUUUUAUGUCACAGGUUAGUUUUAUCAAAUUUUCUUUUAAUCAAUUCAUUCAUUCCAUUGAUUGGAUCUACUGUGUGGUGGUGAGUUAUAUAUAGUUUUGAAGUCACAUCUGCAGGGUUAUUGUGCAAUAAUAAUUCAUUAAAUUUUGUUUUUUCAAAAUGAAUUAUACCAAAUUAUUUAAAAUUAAUAUUUAUAACUGAUUUUCGUCCAUCUACUCUUCACCCACAGUUUCUCCUCUUCUGCAGUACCAAAUACCCAUUACAGGCCUCAUCCCAUUACAUGUUAUAAAUGAAAAAAAAAAAAAAAAAAAAAACAUUGUUUCUCAUAAGAUGGUGAAUUUUUAUUGGGAUACAAGUAAUAAUUAAUUAAAAGGUGAAAAUAAAUGAAUAAUGAGAGUUUAUAUUAUAUUUGUUUGAUAAAAAAACCAAAGGGGAAGCUGGAGAAACUUAGAUCUUUGUUAUUUGUGCAGGUUUCAAGCAACAGACAACUAGAGAUUUGUGCUAAUGCUGUUGGCUUAUGCUGGUGGAUGCUUCCAUUGUGUUGUUGCAAACAAUAAAUAAAUAAAUAAAUAAAAACUAUAUACAGCAGCAAUCGUGGGUGGCUGUUUCUUUCUUUUUGCCAAAAAUAAAUAAAUAAAAUCGUGUGUUGUUCUGUUUGAGACAGAAAAAAUUGAUGUAAUAAACAAUUCAUUUUGUGUUGCUUUGAAUUUUGAUGGGCAUGUGGUGGAAAUGUAUGUGAUAUGCCAGACAAUGAAGGACUAUGAAAGAACAGGGAAAAAAUGAGAGAAAUUAAUUAAAAAUAUUAUUUUUAUUUAUUUUUUUUAAAGGUGUUAGAAAAUAAAAUUUAAUCUAACGAGUUGACAUGUUAACAAAAAAUAACAUCAUAAAAUUGAGGUAUCAUUUAUGUAAUUUACCUUCAAUAACAUAAAUCGAUAGAGAAAAGUAGGAAUUGGCUAAGAUGAGAGUGAAUUAAGAACAAGCAAGGUCUUCAAACUGAAUUAUACAAAUUCUAGUCUGAAUUUUUGAAAUAUUUUUAAAUCAAUUUAAAUUUUUUAGAUAGUAGAUUUUUGGGUUGACAUCAUAAGGUAAAUUUUAAUUGCAAAGUUUAUAAAUUGUGUGUAAUUAUUAUUAGACCGGAUGGAAAAAAUUAAAUGUUUAUGUGAAUUUAUGAUUAUAGCUAAAUUUUUAAAUAUUGUAAAAUGAAGUUUAAUAAUUCUCAAUUUAUUGCGAUUAUAGUAAAAAUAAAUUAAAUUAUUAAAUUUUAAAAUAAAUUAUAAUAUAGGUCUUAAACCUUGAAUAAAUUUACAACUUUAAUUUUUAUAUUUUCAACAUUAAAUAAUUUAAUUUCUCACUUUUGUUAUAUAUAUAUACAAAUUGGUAAUUUCAUCCAAAUUUCCAUCAAAUUACUACUAAUUUUAAUCGAAAUGAUCAAAUGAUAACUUCAAUCGGACAUAGGUAAAGCUUCUAAGAUUUUAUUUUAUUAAAAAAAGUCUUUUAUUUUAAAUUUGUAUUUAAAAAUAAAUAUAUUUUAUAUUUUAUUAUAUAUAAUAAAUAUUUUAUAAUACUAUAAUUAGAUAUAUUGUCUUUUGUUAAUAAUAUUAAUGUCAAUUUAAUUAAAUAUUUUAUUAUAUAAAAAUUUUAUUUUUAAACGUCAUAGUCUUAUUUGAUUUAGAAAUUUAAUUUAGUAAUUAAAGACAGGUAACUCUUUUGAUAAAUCCAGGUUGGAAUAUCUGAUUUCUCAAUCUACUACUUGAAAAAGGAAAAACAAAAAUAAAAAACAACUAUUACACAGCCAUUAUCAAGUCUGUGGUUCGCUUUUUGUAAAGCUUGAUAUUUUUCCACCUUGAUUCCAUGUAGUGGCUUGAACUAUCAGGCGCCGCAUACACCCCACACUUGAAAUAGUGCUCCGCCGGGCCGUCGUCGUAGACCACCACUUUUUGUUUACCAUUGACGUAAACUUUUAUUUCCCCUUUUCCGACGUUAUGAAUCACGUUAAGCCUUAACCACUUAUUAUAGAUGUCUGUGGCCACCGGGUCGGACCUGUAGGGCUUCAGUUGGCCAUUGUAAACUCUAAGUUGCAGAGAUGUGGAUUUGGUAACUGCCCCAAAUACCUGCAUAACUGUGACCCCUGAGGUUCCUUCUGGAACGUACAAUUGCCCUUCGAAUUGCCAAACUCCAGAUGAGUAGUCAUGUCCCUGCAAAUAAGUGUUAGUUAAUUAAUUAAUUAAAUUUAAAAUUAAAUUAAAUAAAUUAAAAAUUAAAAUUUUAAUAAAAGAAUUAAAUCAAACCGAUUAAUAAUUCUUUCAUACCUAUAAAUAUUCCUCAAUAAAUUAUACAUGAGUUUAUGAAAUAUGUCAAAAAUCACAGAAGGAUUAAUUAAUUAUGUUAAUAUAUUAUUUAUUAUGCACGCACAUAUUUAAUUUGAUAAUAAGUAUAUCUGAAUAAAUAUAUGAGAUUUUAGAUUCUACUCUUCUAAUUUUUAUUUUAAAAAAAUAUAUAUAUUAUCUACGGUUGAAUUUACCUAAUAUAAAAUAAUUUAAUCUCUUAAAUUUAGUUAAUUAACAAAAUAAAUAGUUGGCAUAAUUACAUUUUGUAUUUAAAUAAUUAUAUAUUUCACAAAGUAUUUAAUUAUAUUAUCAAAAUAGAUAAUAUUAGAUUAUAUAAAAAAAAUUUUAAAAUCUUUUUCACAAAAAUUAUUUGAAAAUAAUUUUAAUGGUUGUUAAUAAUAUAUCACCAUAAUUUUUUUUUUGAAAAAUUAUAAAUCAUAAUAUAUGAAUUUAAGAAUUUAAUAAAAUUUAUUUACUGUUUAAAAACUAUAUAUUAUAUUAUCACUACUAUAUUUUAGGUUUAAACAAUAAUAAAAUUAAAUUAGUAAUAUUUUUUAUACUUUGUAAAAAAUAAAUAAACUAUUGAAAUAUAAAAAAAUUUAAAUAUAAAGACAAUUUUGGUAACAAGAUAAAGUUUCUAAAAUUGAAAAAAAGAAUUAUGCUUGUAUUAACGUAAAUUAAAUAUAAAAAACAAUACACAAAAACAGAUAAACAUAUAUUUAGAAAUUAAUUUUUAAAAUUUAUCCAAGAUUCUUUCCAAGAUUAAAGUAUAAAUAUCACUCUAUGUUUGUUAAUUUUCGGUAUAAAAAUCAUUUGCAGAAAUUUCAAAACAACCAAAAAAAAAAAAGUUUAAAACAACUUUUGCGGUAGAACGAGAGAGAGAGAGGCUUAGCUUAGAGCUUUACCUUAAUGCGAACUUCAGUUCGGGGUCUGGUAGGGCUGCCAACUUUGAAGGGCUUGUCAUUCUCGUAAACCCAAAACCGUCGAAUCCCAUUUUUGUAAGAAUAACGUUCGUUCAAGGGCUUGUCAUAUGGUUUCUGUAUGAGGAAGUUGUCCUCUGUUAAUGCCACCUCACUGAAUCCAUCAGUUGGAUCUGCGCUGCUGUUCUUCAACAAGCUCACCAUAGCCAUAAUGAGGACAAAACUUGAGUAAGCUGAGAGUUUCAUUUUCAUUUCCCUUAUAACCUGUCCUUAAUUCUUCCCAUAUUUAUAUUCGCUUGCCACUUAUACUUUCCUUUUUUUUUUUCACAAGAUGAAGUAUUUAUUAAAAAAGUAUGUAUAAAAUUAUAAUUUUAUUAAAAAUUAAAUUAUUUAUUAAAAUAUAUUAUUAUAUAUAAUAAAAAAAUUAAAAUUUUCAUAAUAAUUUUAAACGGGUAUCAAAUUAUUAACUUAAUAAUAAUUUAUAUAUAGAGAUAUACAAAUAUUCAUUUUUUUCAUUAUCUACUUGUGAUAUGAAUUAUUUGUUCUAACAGAUUAAAUACCAAUUAUAAGCUACAAUUUGUAAAGAUUUUGGGAUAAUUGCAUAAAACAAAGAAAAUGCAGAACAUGUAAUAAGAUUUUAGGGAUAAUCGCAUAAAACAUAGAAAAUGCAGAAUAUCUUAUAAGAUUUUGGAGAUAAUUGCAUAAAAUAUAGAAAAUGCAAAACAUGUUAAACACUAUUAUAUGAAAAAGUUAUCAAAUUAUUGAUUCACAUAAUAUUUUUAAUCGAUAAAUUAAUUUAAUUUAUUGUGUUCAAUGAAAAAAUAACAAAAGAUAUAUUUAUUUUACGGAAUCAAAUUUAAGAGACUUAAGAAAUGACGAAAAAGAAAAUAAAAUGAAGUUGAAGAAUUCAAAUACCUGAUGAACAAAUUCAAACUUGAAAAAAAUCUUCUAAUUCUGAAAGAAUAAGAGUUAAGAUAUUAGUUGAAAAACAUCUUAAUAAUCUGAGAUUCAGAAAAUAAAGUUUUUAUAGGAUUUUGUGAAUUUAGAAAAAAUUUAGGUCUAGAGGAGGGCAAUCAUCAUUUUAUCGGUUUUCUUUUGUCUGCUAGUGACGUAUAACAAACUGUCUAUCAUUGGGCCACCUGUCCCUGCCAUGUUGAUUCGGACAUAUGAGAAUAUCAUAUUCCUGCUACAUGCGUAACGGCCUCUGAUUCUCCACGGGCACGCAUGCUGAUGGAUCCGCCAGACGGAUGGAUCGGUUUCCUUUUAGGUUCCGAGCCGGGCCGGAACCUAAAAUUAAAACUGAGUCAAAAAAUGAUCUGUCUGAUGAGCCGUACGGGCUGGGCGGGCCUGAUUGAGAAAUUUAGAUAGAAUUCGGUUUCAAGGCUGAGUGGGCCGGACUGGAUCCAUGCGGGAGACUUGAGGGUCUCUAAAUAAUGGGCUAUUGUCAUGGGUCUGACCCCAGACCGGAGUGAAAAAAUCCCUCGUAUUAUAAGAUUAUAAGAUCAAAAAAAAUUCUCCUUUUAAAUAAUGUAAGUGUUCAAUCAGUACAUGAAUAUAAGAGGGAAUUUAUUCUAUUAUUUUGAUAGGUGCAAUUGCUAUGGCUCGUUAAUUAUAAAUAGAAUUAAUAAUUGCACUCUGAAACCUCCGUUUGUAUAAAAUAAUUUGUACAAAAUGUUUUUCAAAAAAAUAUAUUUAUAUUUUUUUGUGUUCUAACAUUUAAAAAUUUUAGUUAAUAGAAAAAUAUUUUUUUGAUUAAAGAAAAAAAAAGUUAUUUAAAAAAAGUUAUUUCUACAUUCAAAUGAGAAUUCAUUUUUAGUGUUUUAAAAUUUUUAUUAAAAUUUCUAUAUAUAAAUUUUUUAAAUUAAAAUUAAAUAAUAAAAAAUUAUUUCUAUUUAAAAAAUAUUUUUUAAAUAUUAAAUUAUUUUCCACAAACAAACGUAAUAUAAAUUAUAAUUUAGUUUACCUAUAUAGGUACACCAUCUAAUUAUUUUACUAAUGACUCGUUAGUUUUAUGAAAUUUUUUUUUUUAGAAAAAUAUUUUUUUACAUCUUUUGAGGGUUUUAACCUUUAGAAAAUUUAAUUAAUAAAAAAUAUUUUAUUAAUUAAAAUAAAAAUUAAAUCAUUUUAAAGAAAAUUAAUUUUAAAAAGAAAAAAUAUAAAAAAUACUCCAUAAUGUAUUAAUUUUUUAUUUCCGUUCAAUUUAUAUUAAAAUAAUAAUUGUGAUAUUGCUCUGUUAGCAAAUAGCAGUAAUUUAAGUAAUUUAACAUAAAAAUUAUAUCACGAAUUACUAAUUUAAUACAAAUUGAAUUACAAAUCUAAAAUAAAAAUGAAUAAAAAUAUAUGCUAUUUUUUUAUAUUUUCUAAUUAAUAAAUAUAUUUUAUUUGUUAUAUCAGUAAUAUUUUAUGACAUCAUAAAAUUACCAUUAUUUAUUAAUUUAUAAUAGAUAUUAUUUUAACAUAAAUUUGAUCUACUGACUUUAAAAUAAAAAUGACUAAAAUUAUAUAAUAAUUUUUUAUAAUUUUUUUAAAAAAAUUAUUUUUCUGAAAAUAUUAUUAAAAUUUUUAUAUAUAAAUUUAUUAAUAUAUUUUAAUUUUUAAAUUAAAAUUAAAUAAUGAAAAUAAAUUAUUUUAUUAAAAAAUAUUUUACAAAUAUAAAUUAUUUUCUAUAAAUAAAUGAAGUCUUAAUGUUUUUUUUGGGAAAUAUUCUUCUCUUCUUUUUGGCCAUUUCUGGAUAAGGGAGACUUUCUCCCAACUGAAUUGUGGAUAUCAUCUCUACCUAUAGAUUGGCUGUGUAUUAGUUUUGUGUUGCAAGUCUUAUAGAUUCAAGGUAGAGAAUGAGUUUUUAGACCUACACGCGAUGGUUUACAAUGAUCUAUUAUUUUACGGUGUUGGAGCUCUAUGCAUAGGUAGAGAGUUGUGAUGCUGCAAUGGGAAGCUAUCUUUAGGCCAUUUUCAACGGUGCGCUAAUUUUCAUUUUGGCGUUGGAGGUGGCCCUUCAAAACUGUGCCAAAAUCUAACGGUUCUUUUUUAAAUUAUAAUAUAAUUCAAAAUUUUUAAUUUUUUUUACUCUUAUAAUUUAUUAUAUUUUUAAUUUAUUUUAUAUUUUUAUAAUUAUUGAAAUUUAAUUUAAAUUAAUAUAUUCACAAUUAUAAAUAAUAUUUAUAAUAAAUUAAUUUAUUUAUAAUAUAUUAUAUAAAAUAAUAUAAAUAAAUUAGUAAAUUGACACAUAUAUUAUAAUUGAACUUCGUAAUGAGCAUUUGUGGGAGUAAUAUACAAAUUCAAAUGAUCAUAUAAAUUAGCUUAUAAUUUUUUAUUGAUAAUUUAGUAUGUAUGAGUUUAUUUUAUUUUUAAUUUGCUAAUUAAUGUUUAAUUAAUGUAUGUUUAUAAUUAAUGUUUAAGUAAUAUUUUUUUAUAAUUAUUAUUUAAUUAAUACAUUUUUAUAAUUAAUAUGUUUUUUUGUUUAUUUAUAAAAUAAUUAAAUAUUUCAAUAUAAGAUGGAAAUAUAAAAUAUAUAAAUAUUUAGAGUGAAUAUAUAAAAUUAUAUGAAUUUUUUGAGUGAAAUAUAUAAAUAAAAUUAAAGUAAAAUAAAUAAUAUAAUAUUAAAGAUAAAAGAAUAUAAAUAAAAUAUUUUUUUGGUGUUAAAAUUUGUGCAGAAGGUCAGAGAUAAUAUUGCACCAUUUUAGUACAAAGUACCAAAAUAGUGCAAAAAAUGAUGCAUAGAGUUGGAAAUGGCCUUAUUGUCAUACCCGGCUGGAGUCCGGCAUCGGAAUUCUACUUUCCGGUGGAGUCCGGGAUGUCGGAAGUCUCUAGAAGGGUAGGAUUUAUGUUUUCCGACAGUGUUAUGAUGCAUUUGAAGGUUUUUAGUUGAAUUGAUUUGAGUUGGUUUGAGGAAAGGAAGAGAAAAGGCUAUGGAGACUUUUGCCAAGUUCGGCCGCCGAAGGUAAGUUCGGCCGCCGAAAGUGCCCAAUGUUCGGCUUCCGCAGUUCAGAUUCGGCCCCCGAAUGUUGCAUGGUUUUGCAUGCGAUUCGGCAGCCGAAGCUGAGUUGCUCAGCCAACUAAUGAGCAUUCCUGAGUCAGCAUUUUGGACAGGUGUUGGCUCCACACCCUGUCCAGAAGCUUGGCCACGUCUCCUAUAUUGUUCAGCUCCUGCAAGUGUGUUGUUUUGUUGGGUGUCAAAAGUUUUGAGAGUUUGAAGCAAAAAGCUUAGGUUUGAGAGUUUAUGCGUGUGAAGAGAGUUGAUUCAUUUUCUUUGUUCAGAUCGUUCAUCUUCUUGAAUACAGGAGGUAAGUGAAGAUCUUGAACAUGUUUUACUGUUUUACAGAAGCUUUAUGAAGGUUUGGGUAGAGAUGCAUGCUUAGGUGACAAAGGGUGUUUUCUUUUGAUGGUUUAGCUUGUAAGCAUGAUUAUGUGUUCUGUGUGAUGUGUUUUGUUGGGGUGUUUAGGUAGUUUUGGACCCCUUUGUACAUAUAUAUGAGUAUAUGUGUGUGGAGGAGUUGAGGUAUGCAUGUUUUGAGAGCUUGAAGGGAUGGAGGAGCUUGUUUGUCGUCGGGGCUGAGUUCUGGAUGAACUCAGGUUCGGUAGCCGAAGGUUCAUUCGGCCGCCGAACCUCUUGCAUGGUGGCUUAGGCUGCCACAGCUUGCCCCCGCGAGUUUUGAAUGUUCGGCUCUGUUUGGGGGAUUCGGCCGCCGAAGGUGCCGCCGAAGGUUAGAGACUUUCGUCUCUGGAGUGCCUUUUGGCCCCCGAAACUUGCCCCCGAAAGGGUUCGGCCGCCGAAGCUUGAGAUUCGGCCGCCGAAGGUGCUUGAGUUUCGUCUCUGGAGAAGACUUUCGGCCGCCGAACCUGCCGCCGAAAGUGUUCUGUCCAGCUUUCUUUUGCCUACUUUGCAUGGUUAGUUGAGUGAGUUUAAGGGGAUGUUUAGGGAGGUUAAUAGAGUUAUUCAGAAGCUUGUUUGGUCCCUCAUUUGAGUCCAUCUGUAUAGGUACAGAUCAGAGGAACCAGAGAGAGCAGCAGUGAGUACUGCUCCAGCGUGUUCAGAGCCUGCAGAGUCAGUCCAGUUAGCCAGAGGUGAGUGGAGCUAAACUUCAUUCUUUUACUUGCACAAUGGAAUGUUUUAGCAUAUCUCAUGCAUCAUGAUUAUGCCAUAGGUUGAGUGCAUUAGUACCCACAAAUAUGUUGCAUUGCAUAGUUAUUUGUUGAUGUGGGUAAAUGCUGAAUGAUCCCAUAGUCACAGACAGGAAGUCCAGGAGUCUUUGACUACGCCCUGGCAAUGGUAAGUACAGAGGUGUUAUAUACACAUAUACAUAUAUGACAGGAAGACCAGGUGCUCGAUUCUACGCCCUGGCACAGAGCUACUGGGACUAUGUGGUGACAGGUUUACUCUUGAUGUGGCUUGUUUGUGUUAUGACACAUUCAAUGAGAUCAUGUUUUACUGAGAUGUUUUACUGUUCUACUCACUGGGCUAUAGAGCUCAUCCCACUCCCUUAACCCCAGUUUUGCAGGUUCAGUAUACAGUGUACAGGGACAGUCCAGCAGGAUACAGAAAGAGUAAAGAGAUGUGUAAUAGUGUAGAGUGGACAUGUAAUGUUAAAGAGAGAUGUAAUGGUUCUGUUUUCAGUUACAGAUGUGCUUGACUUAGUCGUUUGUGAUGUAAAUCUGUUGUUUUGUACAUGAUCUGUCUAUGUAUAUGUUUUCCUGUAUGUGUGAAAAUCAGGCGUAACAGGUAUGAGUUAACCCAUCUAGAGUAAGCUCUAGUCAGGGGUACAGAGUACAGAGUACAGAGUACAGAGUACAGAGAUAGUGCAUGCACAGGUUAAGCCUUGGUUCAGAAAAGAGAUUUUAUUUUUCACAGAAAAUGUAUGAUCAUGUAUGAGUUAUACAAGUACACAGAGAGUAUAGCAGGCUUGCUACGAGUUCUGGCGGCCUUAAGCCGACCUGAAUCCUAGCGCCGGUGACAGUCCAUUUUGGGGUCGUUACAGAUUGGUAUCAGAGCCCUAAGUUCACAUGAUCGGACCUAUAGAGACAGUGUCGGGCUCAUAACAGGUAGCAGUGGUCAAGCACAAUAGGAAAUCAUGUCCACCAGGAUAGGGUCUUGAGUCCUAUCUGUUUCAUGCCAUGAGUUAUGCAUGUGCCUUCUUGCUAUGUGCUGUUUAUGUGCUAAAGUGCUAUGUUAUAUGUUGUGUUUCCAGCUAGUAAAGAUGAGAGGAACUCGUCGAUCAGCUCGAUUGACUGGAGGCCCCCCAGAUAGUGAGAGACCAGCUGCUCGUCCUCCUGCAUUGCCAAGGGCAAGGUCGCAGAGAUCUAGCAGGGAAGGUACGUCAAUAGACCCUAGAAGGUCUGUCGACGAGAGCAGAAGAGGAACAGUGAGGGGAGGAAGAUCAGAGGAAAGGAGGGAAGCGAUGGAGAUUGAUCAGUCAAGAGAUGAUAGCAUGGGUAUAGGCAGUUUUGAGGAAGGUAUGGGAGAGUCGCAGGGAGGUGCUCAGACCUCAGGUUUUGGCUACCCAGAGUAUCCGAUGGGAGGUAUGUCGGAGUACUCUAGUUUUGUGCCAUAUCCUUCUUACAUGCCAUAUAUGCCUUAUCCCUCUUACUACCCACCAUAUCCUAUGUAUCCAUCUUCCCCUACCCAUCCAAGUGCAGCACACCCAGAGCCAAAUGAACCAGUACCACCACCAGAACCAGUAGCCCCUGUUGUUGACAGACAUCAACCUAGCUCAUCUGGAGGUAAGGUACAAAUGACGGAGUACUUGAAAUUGGAUGCUCCUAAAUAUAACACGGGAAAUGAUCCAUUUGAAUACCUCAGAUCAGUUAGGAUGAUAACUAGUGAGUUGGGAGCUGAUGAUAGUAGAGCCAUUGAGAUGGCAGGGUUUACACUUAAAUGCAAGAAAGCCAGAGAAUGGUUUAAGAAUUAUGUGGAACCCAGAAUGAACAGUAUGUCUUGGGGAGAGUUCGCCAAUGAGUUUGCAGGGUGGGCUUUUCCUGACAGUUCUAGGGAGAUGAAAGUAAUUGAGUUUGAACAGUUGCGACAGACAGAUGAGAUGAGUGUUGAUGAAUUCACAGAUAAGUUUCUGGAUUUGCUUCAGUAUGUGGGUCAAGCCUAUGAUACUGAUCAGAAGAAGGCAAGGAGAUAUACUAUGAGAUUGCAUCCCAGGUAUUCUUCUUUGAUUCUUCCAGCAGAAAAGGAGAGUUUCCACACGAUAGUGGACGCCGCCAGGAAAAUGGAAGCUAGUGCCAAUAUUCAGAAACAGUCAAAGGCACAGGCUUCGGGUUCUAAAGCCCCCACUUCAGGCAGCAAGAAAUGGGAUAGAGCGAAAGGAACAAAGAGUAAGUUCUGGAGUAAAGUGAAGUCAGGUCUGGGAAUAGGUAGUGGCUCAAGCUCUGGCACAGCUCCAGUCUGCAGACGAUGCGGAAAACCACAUGGAGGAGUUUGUCAGUUGGGAUCUACAGCUUGUUUUCGCUGUGGACAGGAAGGACAUAUUGCUCGGAAUUGUCCUCAGGUGACUUUUGCACCAUCCCAGCAGAUGAGUUCAGGCAGUGUGGUACAGCCAGUUGUUCGGCCAGCAGCUCCAGUCAUGCCUCAAAGUAGUGGCAGAGGUAGAGGGAGAGGGGCAGCCUCUACUUCAGCAGCAGGUUCCCGAGGUGGAAAUUCGGUAGCCCCAGCACGGAUUUUCACUGUGACACAGGAGGAGGCGAACACGUCGAACACAGUGGUGUCGGUAAUCUCAUCAUUGGGUGUUCAGAUGUGUAUGCUUUGAUGGACCCCGGUGCUUCUCAUUCCUUUAUUGCUUCGAGAGCCAUAGAGAGAUUGGGUUUGAUCAGUUCUGAGUUAGAGUAUCCUCUCUGGGUCAGUGGACCUAGAUGUGACCCAUCAGUGGCAGUGUCAGUCUGUCGUUUCAGUCUAGUGUUCAUAGAGGGUAGAUACCUUCUAGCUGACCUUGUGGUUCUAGAUUUGACGGAUUUUGAUGUCAUUCUAGGGAUGGAUUGGUUAUCUACAUAUAGUGCUACAUUGGACUGUAGAGAGAAGAUAGUGAGUCUCAGAGACCAGGAUGGGUCAGAGUGUGUCUUUAGAGGAGACAGGAGAGGUACACCCAGAGGUAUGAUUUUAGCCCUUCAGGCUCAUCGUUUGCUUAGGAGGGGUUGUCAGGGGUUUCUAGCUCAUGUGAGAGAGCUAGACAGUCAGGUGAGGGAACCAGCCACCGUACCAGUAGUUCGAGAGUUUCUCGAUGUGUUCCCAGACGAUUUACCAGGACUCCCACCUGAUAGGGAGAUAAGGUUUGAAAUUGAAUUGCUGCCAGGUACCAGACCUAUCUCUAUUCCUCCCUACAGGAUGGCGCCAGCAGAGUUACAAGAGUUGAAAGAACAGUUGCAGGAUUUGGUAGAUAAGGGUUUCAUCCGCCCUAGUACCUCACCUUGGGGUGCUCCAGUGCUCUUUGUCAGAAAGAAGGAUGGAUCCCUCAGACUUUGUAUCGACUACAGACAGUUGAACAAGGUCACUAUCAAGGAUAGGUAUCCUCUACCUAGGAUUGAUGAUCUAUUUGACCAGCUAGCUGGAGCAGGUUGUUUCUCUAAAAUAGAUCUGAGAUCCGGGUAUCAUCAGUUGAGAGUCAGAGAGGCAGAUGUGCCUAAGACAGCUUUCAGGACCAGAUAUGGGCAUUAUGAGUUCUUAGUGAUGCCGUUCGGGUUGACUAACGCCCCUGCAGCAUUCAUGGAUCUCAUGAAUAGAGUGUUCAGUGAGUUUCUGGAUCACUUUGUCAUUGUUUUCAUCGAUGAUAUUUUGGUGUAUUCCAGAGAUGCAGAGGAGCAUGCCCAGCAUCUGAGGAUAGUUUUGCAGACACUGAGAGAGCAUGGUUUGUAUGCCAAGUUCUCGAAGUGUGAGUUUUGGUUGAGGAGCAUUGCCUUCUUGGGACACGUGGUAUCAGCAGAGGGUAUUGAGGUAGACCCCAAGAAGAUAGAGGCUGUAGCGAACUGGCCCAGACCCACUACGGUGACUGAGAUUAAAAGCUUUCUGGGACUGGCAGGUUACUACAGGAGGUUCGUGCAGAACUUCUCAAAGAUAGCAGCUCCGAUGACCAAACUAACUCAGAAGAAUCAGAAGUUUGUCUGGUCAGACCAGUGUGAAGAGAGCUUUGAGGAGCUCAAGCGGAGAUUGACCACAGCACCAGUGUUAGCUCUGCCUGUCAGUAAUGAGGAUUUCACAGUGUUCUGUGAUGCAUCUCGAGUGGGAUUGGGUUGUGUAUUGAUGCAGAGUGAGCGGGUGAUAGCUUAUGCUUCUAGACAGUUGAAGAAGCACGAGUNNNNNNNNNNNNNNNNNNNNNNNNNNNNNNNNNNNNNNNNNNNNNNNNNNNNNNNNNNNNNNNNNNNNNNNNNNNNNNNNNNNNNNNNNNNNNNNNNNNNNNNNNNNNNNNNNNNNNNNNNNNNNNNNNNNNNNNNNNNNNNNNNNNNNNNNNNNNNNNNNNNNNNNNNNNNNNNNNNNNNNNNNNNNNNNNNNNNNGUCGUGGUGGAGCUUUACAAGCUCUUAGAAGAAGGGUUACAGUUAGAGUUGUCUGGUACAGGUGCAUUGAUAGCACAGAUGCGAGUGACACCUGUGUUUCUGGAGCAGAUAGCUCGGAGACAGCAUGAGGACCCUGAGUUGAUGAAAAUUGCCAGGACUGUUCAGUCAGGCAACAGUGCAGAGUUCAGCUUUGACAGCAAAGGGAUCCUCCGCUAUGGGAAUCGACUUUGUGUACCAGAUACGAGCAGUGUGAAGGCAGACAUUAUGAGGGAAGCUCAUAAUGCGCGGUAUAGUGUUCACCCAGGAGCCACCAAGAUGUAUCAAGAUCUGAAAAAGGUCUAUUGGUGGCCAGCCAUGAAGAUAGAAGUGGCACAAUUUGUGACAGCCUGUGAGAUUUGCCAGAGGGUGAAACUAGAGCAUCAGAAACCAGCAGGAAUGCUUAACCCAUUGCCGAUUCCAGAGUGGAAAUGGGAGAACAUAGCCAUGGAUUUUGUAGUGGGUUUACCAGCAGCAUCCAACAGGAUAGACUCUAUAUGGGUGAUUGUGGACAGACUCACGAAAUCUGCUCAUUUUCUUCCAGUACGGAGUAACUAUUCUGUGGAUAAGUUGGCACAGGUCUAUCUGGAUGAGAUAGUGAGAUUACAUGGAGUUCCAGUGUCUAUAGUUUCAGACAGAGGACCUCAGUUUACCUCUAGAUUUUGGCGAAGUCUGCAGAGUGCGAUGGGCACGAGAUUAGAGUUUAGCACUGCUUUCCACCCACAGACUGAUGGACAGUCAGAGAGGACCAUCCAGACCAUAGAGGAUAUGCUUCGACUGUGUGUGUUAGACUUUGGCGGUUUUUGGCGGCAGCAUCUACCUUUGGUGGAGUUUGCCUACAAUAACAGCCAUCAUGCUAGCAUAGGGAUGGCUCCUUAUAAAGCUUUGUAUGGGAGGAAGUGCAGAUCCCCUGUUUGUUGGGAAGAAAUAAGAGAGAAGGCUCUUGCAGGGCCAGAGUUAGUAGAGAUUACCAGUAGAGUGGUGCCCGUGAUCAGAGAGAGAAUCAGAACAGCGCAGAGUAGACAGAAAAGUUAUGCAGACGUGCGCAGAAAAUAGUUAGAGUUUCAGGAGGGUAAUAUGGUAUUGCUGAAAGUGUCUCCAAUGAAAGGAGUGGUUCGUUUUGGGAAGAAGGGUAAAUUAGCUCCACGGUACAUUGGACCCUUUGAAAUUGUGCAGAGGAUCGGCAAUGUGUCAUAUAAGCUGGAUUUACCUGCUUCUAUGGCGAGAAUUCACCCGGUAUUUCAUGUUUCUAUGCUACGGCAGUUUGUGUCAGAUCCGAAUCAGGUUCUGAGUGAGCCUGAGGUGGAGAUUCUUACAGAUCUCACCUAUAUAGAGCAGCCAGUGCGGAUUCUGGACACGCAGAUCAGACAGCUAAGAAACAAGGAGAUUCCGAUGGUGAAAGUUCUAUGGAACCACCAUAAUCUAGAAGAGUGCACCUGGGAGACGCGAGAGUCGAUGCUCCAGCAGUAUCCAUAUUUGUUUUGAGGUUAGUUUCCUCCGUUUUUUGUGUUAUUUGUGUUAGUAUCAUUCGAGGACGAAUGUUCUUAAGGGGGGGAGAAUGUAAUACCCGGCUGGAGUCCGGCAUCGGAAUUCUACUUUCCGGUGGAGUCCGGGAUGUCGGAAGUCUCUAGAAGGGUAGGAUUUAUGUUUUCCGACAGUGUUAUGAUGCAUUUGAAGGUUUUUAGUUGAUUUGAUUUGAGUUGGUUUGAGGAAAGGAAGAGAAAAGGCUAUGGAGACUUUUGCCAAGUUCGGCCGCCGAAGGUAAGUUCGGCCGCCGAAAGUGCCCAAUGUUCGGCUUCCGCAGUUCAGAUUCGGCCCCCGAAUGUUGCAUGGUUUUGCAUGCGAUUCGGCAGCCGAAGCUGAGUUGCUCAGCCAACUAAUGAGCAUUCCUGAGUCAGCAUUUUGGACAGGUGUUGGCUCCACACCCUGUCCAGAAGCUUGGCCACGUCUCCUAUAUUGUCCAGCUCCUGCAAGUGUGUUGUUUUGUUGGGUGUCAAAAUUUUUGAGAGUUUGAAGCAAAAAGCUUAGGUUUGAGAGUUUAUGCGUGUGAAGAGAGUUGAUUCAUUUUCUUUGUUCAGAUCGUUCAUCUUCUUGAAUACAGGAGGUAAGUGAAGAUCUUUACAGAAGCUUUAUGAAGGUUUGGGUAGAGAUGCAUGCUUAGGUGACAAAGGGUGUUUUCUUUUGAUGGUUUAGCUUGUAAGCAUGAUUAUGUGUUCUGUGUGAUGUGUUUUGUUGGGGUGUUUAGGUAGUUUUGGACCCCUUUGUACAUAUACAUGAGUAUAUGUGUGUGGAGGAGUUGAGGUAUGCAUGUUUUGAGAGCUUGAAGGGAUGGAGGAGCUUGUUUGCCAUCGGGGCUGAGUUCUGGAUGAACUCAGGUUCGGCAGCCGAAGGUUCAUUCGGCCGCCGAACCCCUUGCAUGGUGGCUUAGGCUGCCACAGCUUGCCCCCGCGAGUUUUGAAUGUUCGGCUCUGUUUGGGGGAUUCGGCCGCCGAAGGUGCCGCCGAAGGUUAGAGACUUUCGUCUCUGGAGUGCCUUUUGGCCCCCGAAACUUGCCCCCGAAAGGGUUCGGCCGCCGAAGCUUGAGAUUCGGCCGCCGAAGGUGCUUGAGUUUCGUCUCUGGAGAGGACUUUCGACCGCCGAACCUGCCGCCGAAAGUGUUCUGUCCAGCUUUCUUUUGCCUGCUUUGCAUGGUUAGUUGAGUGAGUUUAAGGGGAUAUUUGGGGAGGUUAAUAGAGUUAUUCAGAAGCUUGUUUGGUCCCUCAUUUGAGUCCAUCUGUAUAGGUACAGAUCAGAGGAACCAGAGAGAGCAGCAGUGAGUACUGCUCCAGCGUGUUCAGAGCCUGCAGAGUGAGUCCAGUUAGCCAGAGGUGAGUGGAACUAAACUUCAUUCUUUUACUUGCACAAUGGAAUGUUUUAGCAUAUCUCAUGCAUCAUGAUUAUGCCAUAGGUUGAGUGCAUUAGUACCCACGAAUAUGUUGCAUUGCAUAGUUAUUUGUUGAUGUGGGUAAAUGCUGAAUGAUCCCAUAGUCACAGACAGGAAGUCCAGGAGCCUUUGACUACGCCCUGGCAGGUAUAGCAAAGUCCAGGAGCCUUUGACUACGCCCUGGCAGGUAUAGCAAAGACCAGGAGCCUUUGACUACGCCCUGGCAAUGGUAAGUACAGAGGUGUUAUAUACACAUAUACAUAUAUGACAGGAAGACCAGGUGCUCGAUUCUACGCCGUGGCACAGAGCUACUGGGACUAUGUGGUGACAGGUUUACUCUUGAUGUGGCUUGUUUGUGUUAUGACGCAUUCCAUGAGAUCAUGUUUUACUGAGAUGUUUUACUAUUCUACUCAAUGGGCUAUAGAGCUCAUCCCACUCCCUUAACCCCAGUUUUGCAGGUUCAGUAUACAGUGUACAGGGACAGUCCAGCAGGAUACAGAAAGAGUAAAGAGAUGUGUAAUAGUGUAGAGUGGACAUGUAAUGUUAAAGAGAGAUGUAAUGGUUCUGUUUUCAGUUACAGAUGUGCUUGACUUAGUCGUUUGUGAUGUAAAUCUGUUGUUUUGUACAUGAUCUGUUUAUGUAUAUGUUUUCCUGUAUGUGUGAAAACCAGGCGUAACAGGUAUGAGUUAACCCAUCUAGAGUAAGCUCUAGUCAGGGGUACAGAGUACAGAGUACAGAGUACAGAGUACAGAGUACAAAGAUAGUGCAUGCACAGGUUAAGCCUUGGUUCAGAAAAGAGAUUUUAUUUUUCACAGAAAAUGUAUGAUCAUGUAUGAGUUGUACAGGUACACAGAGAGUAUAGCAGGCUUGCUACGAGUUCUGGCGGCCUUAAGCCGACCUGAAUCCUAGCGCCGGUGACGGUCCAUUUUGGGGUCGUUACACUUAUAGCCUCAUUUUUACUUUUCUUCAAUAGAAUAGUUAACCCUUAACGUUAACAAAAAGUAAAAUGUCAGUAAAAUUUGUUAUUCCUAUUUUUUAUAGUCCUAAUUUAUGAUUUGUUCGAGUGUUUGAGAUUUUUUUUAUAAAUUAUUAAAUAUUCAAAAUUUACUGAUUUGACUAAUUUAAAUUCGCGCUGAACAGACCUAUUAAGAGGUAAAACUAUCAUUCUCAAGUUUUUAAAAGUAUUUUAUAGUUUGAAUUUAAAAUCUCUAAUUAAAAGAGAAAAAAUUCGGAUUAUCUCAUCUCAUAUAUCAAAAUGAAUGCUUAAAUUUUAAUUUAGGAGGAGAAUAAAUUUUUAUCAACAUAUAUCUAAUGUUUGAAGGCUUUGAUACUCCCAUGAGAUUGCCUAUGUCUUCUUUUUCUAGUUUGGUGGUUCAACUCCGGUAUUGCGAAAAAUGUUCAGGCUUUGUUAUGCUAUGCUUAUGGAGUUUUCAUAUUCUAACAUCUUAUUUUAUUUUAUAAACUCUUUUAUUUGUUUACACUAUGUUUAGAUAAUAUGUAAUAUGUAGAAAAUAGGAAAGAAGAAAAAUAAUUAAGAAAACUAAUGAAAGAAUUCUACUUUCUAUUUUUAUUUAAAACAGUGGAGAAAAUAAAGCAAAAUAAUCUUUAUUUUACUUUAAUUUUUUUUCUCUCCGGUCUAGAAAGAAACUAGCAAAGAAUUAUGUUUUUUUUUUAAUUUUAAAUUUACAUUACGUAAACAAUAGAAAAAAAAAAAGUAUAAUGAUAAAUUUGUAAAUAUAUAAUCANNNNNNNNNNNNNNNNNNNNNNNNNNNNNNNNNNNNNNNNNNNNNNNNNNNNNNNNNNNNNNNNNNNNNNNNNNNNNNNNNNNNNNNNNNNNNNNNNNNNNNNNNNNNNNNNNNNNNNNNNNNNNNNNNNNNNNNNNNNNNNNNNNNNNNNNNNNNNNNNNNNNNNNNNNNNNNNNNNNNNNNNNNNNNNNNNNNNNNNNNNNNNNNNNNNNNNNNNNNNNNNNNNNNNNNNNNNNNNNNNNNNNNNNNNNNNNNNNNNNNNNNNNNNNNNNNNNNNNNNNNNNNNNNNNNNNNNNNNNNNNNNNNNNNUUUUUUCCUUCUCCUCUUUUCGAUUCUAUUUGACGGAAUAGGGGUUUUUUUGUGGAUUCUCUUUAUCAGUAGUAAUAAGGAGAAGAGUUCACAAAGCUAUGGCGAUUUCUUCUCUCUCUGCUUCAACAAUUCCAUCUUUGAAGACACCGCCCUCACAGCUGACUACUACCAAUUUGACUUCCUUGUCUUCGCUGCAGUUUCCAGCGCAGCUUCAGAGGCUUCAGUUUAGGGUCAGAGGGAUUUCCUCUCCUUCCAGGUCUCGAAUUUUGCAUCUGGUAAUGCUCUUAUACUCGAUCAUUUCCUCCCACCUCUUAUGUUUCGUUUUCUUCUUUUUCCCUUUUUGGAGGAGACUGAAGGAUGCAAAUUAGGUGAUACGGAUUUUAGAAUAGAAUAAUAAUUAGAGGAUGUAACAUAAACAUCUCUUGUUCAAUUUUUACGUAGGUCCUAGGCAAUUGGGUUGAAGUCAAUUUGAGAGAUAUGCUCACAUUCUAUGGAGUUUGUUCUUGAUUUUGUGCAGCUUAAAAAGCUCUGCUUAAGAUUUUAGCUGCUGUCAAUUGGUCUCAAGGGUGUUUAGUGCUUAGUGUUGGAUGCUUUUAUUUGGUCAGUUGGCUGAAAAGGAGAGUAGGAAGGAACUGGGUCCUAUGAAUAGUUACGUGUAGAGUCGUCAUAUUUGUUUUCAAUAUAAUUUCUACAUAUCGGAUGUUGCCCCUACCUCCUGGCAACUGACAAUACUAUUAGAAAAUAUCGGAUCUUAUAGUAAUUCCUCGUGAAAGAAGGAGAAGAAGAAGAAGAAGAAGAAGAAGAAGAAGAAGAAGAAAUAAUGUCAAUGGGAUUUAGAUUGAGGUCAUUUUGGGGCAUAUGAUUCUAUGUGAAAUCCUUAUUUUUUUUCAUUUCCAAAUAUCAAAGAUGAGAAUGAAUGAAUGGGUUUCCCGUUCCAUAUCCUCAUAAACCUGGCAAUUUCUUGGAGUAAUAGUUCAUUUCAUAAAAAUAGUUUUUAAAGACCAUAGUGGAAUUCAGAAUCCACUGGGUGCUUUUGCAAUGGUUCAUUUCAAUUUACUGCUUUACUUCAUUUUUAGCGGUUCUUACUUAUGUAAUGAAUAAAAUAUGUUCUGGAGGAUAUUUUGGCAGUAGUGCAUAAUUGGUGAAGGGCAUUUCUUUUUCUUAAAAAAUUGAAAUUACUUCAUGAAGUCAGUGCUUAAUAAUCUCAAAUCUCAAAUUUUUACCCAUCAACAGUAUGCUGGCAUUUUGGUGAUGUAUACUUUCGAAGAAAUUUAUUCUAUGACUAUGACAGAACUAUCUUUCUUCCUUUUCCAUCUCUAAUUCUGAGUUUAUAUUAUUCUGGGUAUAUUAGAUGCUCCUUCUUACAUUCAAAGUUCUGUCAAUUAGUAUGCUAUAUAUGUAACAACUAUUGUUGUCUUUUAUGCUUAUGCAUGAGCAUCAUGAUCCCUCAUGCUUUCUACCCAUUACACUUGAUCCCUAAGAAAUAAAUUGAGUUGCAGAUUUCAAGUUAGAUACAUGCUCUUUUUUCUUUUUUAUUUACCUUUUAGCUAGACAAAGUAAUUUAGUGGGAGCGGACAUUCGAUAUGCUUAAAGCUUAGUAGGUGAACAAAGUCAAGUCUUCACAAGAACAGCAAAUCUUGAAGAUGUAACUUAGUGUGGAAAGAAAUUGCUUGAUGUGUUGGAUUUGUUAUUCCAGAUAGUUGUUGCCUAGGCUCAUAGUAAUUGGUAUAUUUAGUAGUAGUUUGCAACUUAUCUUUUAGAGUUUGAGAAUUUAAUCAGAAGUUUCUUGACAUUAGAUUGGCAGCCAAACACAGUAUGCCCAUUUGAUUAUGGAACUAUGAAGUUAAUGCCAAUAUUAUGCUUCUGGUUCUUAGAAGAUGGGAUUUUUUUAUGGAUUUUUUAUCUCUCCAUUACUGUAUGUAAUUUGUUGUAAAUGUAAUAAAGAGAAUGCUCAAUCUUACUAGAUUAGAUUGGUCUUAUUAGUUGCUUUAUGUGCUAGUUUCUUUUUGCAUCUGUACUAUAUUGAGUUUAAACAAUUUGCUAAAUGAUUGUGCAGGUUGCAGCAAAGAAGCAAACAUUUUCAUCCCUUGAUGAGUUGUUGGAAAAUGCUGACAAGCCAGUGUUGGUCGACUUCUAUGCAACCUGGUGACUUCCUUUUCGUUCCUUUUCAAUGUGUUUUCUUUCUAGCCUUUCUUUUAUUACAUUUUAUGAGAAAGAAUUGUGUCAUGGAGAUGACGUCUGAUCAUCUUCAAAUCACCUAAAACCCUGCAGUAAAUUCUUCCAUCUUCCCAAUUAAAUAAUUAGAGUUAAUUUGCUGGCCUUAAGAGAUUUUUUUUAGAAUAUGUGAUGAGCAUUUUGUGCUAAAGACUGCAAUGAUGCUGAAUAAGGAUCUUUAAGAUGCAGAUUUUUUUUUUUAAAACUUUGACAUGGGUUGGAAUAGCAAUCAGAGAAUAAGAAUAAAUAGGCCAAGCUGUUGUUUGCAGGUGCGGUCCUUGCCAGCUUAUGAGUCCAAUUCUUGAUCAAGCAAGUGCUGUCCUAAAAGACACGAUCCAGGUGGUAAAAAUUGAUACUGAGAAGUACCCGAGCAUUGCUGACAAAUAUAGAAUAGAAGCAUUGCCUACAUUUAUCAUCUUUAAGGAUGGCAAACCUUAUGACCGCUUUGUAAGUUCGUUCAGUAUCUGUAAGCUUCUUUGAAAAAAAAUAAUUUUACAUCUUCAGGAUGAUAUUCUUGAAAUGCAAUGCUUUUUGUGAGACCAUCAACAAGGGUUUUCUCUUCACGUGUAUCUGAUUGCUGAUUGUCUUGUCAAUGGCAUUCUUUAUGAUAGAAAUUAAAAUAAAAUAUAGAAAAGGAAUAAGUAGGAGAUACUAUAUAUAAAACGUUUGCUACAAGGCUUACAAUCUGAAUCUGCUAGAGCCAGAGGAGAGCAAAUCACUUCCUCUCAAUAUUAUUUAUCCCCAUGCUGCAAUUCUUUCUUUUUAAAUUUUAGUCUACCAUUUGAUGUUUCAACGCCCAUGUACUGUCAUCCAUUUUCUGAUUUUGACUUGUUACUGACCUUGCUGCCUUGGUGUGGUAAUUUCCAGGAGGGUGCUUUGCCUAAAGAUAAGUUCAUUGAACGCAUCGAGAAUUCACUGCAAGUGAAGCAAUAGAUAUGGUAACCCUUGUCCCUUUUUAAGUCUGUCCCUUUCAGAAUGCGUAACCCUUGUCCCUUUUUAAGUCUGCCCCUUUCAGAAUGCAUUUGCAUGCUAUGAGACCCCAUAAAUAAACUCACUCCCAAUUUCGGCGCACAGAUUCUAUGAGGAAUGAAAUAUGAAGCCAUUAUGUGUAAUUUUUUACUAGGAAGGUCACCCAUUCUUCGCCUCCCAGAAUGCUGUAACGAGGGUAAUUGUACCUAAAAGAGUGAUAAACACAAAAAUACAAUAGCAUAUUUGUUUAUAACUCUUGGAAAUUUUGCAAAAAGAUUGUAUUUGUUUUUGAAACAUUUAUAAGCUCCACUCUUUUAAUGGUUACUGGACUUGGUGCAGCCAUCGUUGAUCAGGUCAUGUUAUCUCUUGGUUGAAUAAGUUUAUUCCAUUGCAGUUUCUGGAUCGAUUAGAAAGUUAGGCUACUAAAAGAAGUCCUGGAUUCAAAAUUUUCCACUCAGCAAGAUUGUGUAGGGGCAGCUAUGCAUGAUUGCUUCCUGCCAACUGUGGAAGCUUCAGAUUCUAACCUUUGUAGGGCAGAACCUUGGCUUGGUUUUUUGAUUAAUUUCAUGUUUCUACACAUCUUCCUCAUGUUGCAAUAGUUUAAAAUUACCAAGUUCAACUUUAAGCCAUUGAUGGAGGAAGGAAUCGACAUUGAGCUUGAUAAAAAUGAGAUUUAUUAUUAUUAAUAUUAUUUUAAGAAAAGAUUUAUACUUCGUUUGGAAUUAGUAUAUAGUUUUUCUUUAAGAAAUAACUUUUAGAAAAAAUUCAAUAUACUAAAAAAUUGAGAAGUUUAAAUAUUUUAAAUUUUUUAAUUAUGGUAAUGUAUAAUGGCUAGUCACGUGACAUGCAUUUAUCAGGCAUUUCCUUGUUAGUGUCAUUUUUUGAUAAAUUACAUAAUAAAUUAAAAGAGAGAGAAAGAGGAGAGAUGAAAUCUCGGAAAACGAAUCAAUGGAGAAGGGCAGCUGAAGUAGUGCGAUUGCGUCGGAAAGGGAUUUUUCCCAUUUUUGUGUUUAGGAUUUGUUAUUUUCGUUUGUGGUUUCUAUUUGAUUUGGCUUUUAUUUAAUUUUGGCUUUCGUUUUCUCUUCGAGUCUUCUUGUUUAUUUUCCGUCGCUUUUGAGCAAGAGGUCCGACGCUGUCCUUGAUUAACCCUCAACAAAGGAGGACAACCGGUUUUAGUUUUUAUUUUUAUUUUUUUAUUCUUUUUUUAUGAUUUUUGCAGAUCUACGACGAUCAUCCGCGAGGAUUCGUUCGUUUGGGUCUAAUUUAAUAAAAUCUAUGUUCAUCUAUUAUUUAAUUUAAUUUAACAUACGAUCAUGAUGAUCGUCUGUGGUUUUUAUCAAAUAUUUUUUUGAUAAAAUGUCUAAAUAAGUUUAAUUAAUUUUUUUUAAAAUAAAAAUUUGAAUUUUACUUUUAAAUACAAACUGAUUUUGAUGUAAUAAGUUUAAUUAAUAAUCUAUUUAUUUUUAAACUUUUAAAUAUCAAUAAUUAUAUAAUAUAAUAUCCGUCCAAAGUAUACGAUUAGCUAUUACCAUACGACGGAGCCACAUGCCAAAAUUCUAAUAAACUGUGACGUUCGGUCAUGAAAAUCUUCCAUAAGAGAGGAGAUCCGGUCAUUGUAAAGGUCAAUACUCGGAACAACAGAAAACUCGCCCUUUUAUGACUGGUCGAGUCUUUCUUAACAUUUAAGUUACCAUUAAAAGAUAUUAUACAGCACAUCUCCAUUACGCCUACAAACACGAGAUUUCUUAUCCACUGGCUGGUACUAGUCGGAUUACUAAGAAAAUCACCAACUAACUCCAUUUUCUCACAGUGUAAAAGAAGUAUACACAGAGUUCAAGGUACACAUUAUUGCACACUUUUCUUAAGUUCAAGCAACUUACUUACACUCAUCCUUUCUGAUAAAUUAUUAACUUGAGUGUCAGAGUGAUUGCCAAUAUGCGCCAACCACAUCACUUUCUUUCUUUUGUAGAGUGACCAAUCAUCUUUAGCUCAUUUUCAGCCACAUCAUUUAGUUACAUUACUGAGAUCACCCAUUGAGUUUUCUUGUUCAUUUGGGAUAAAUCCGAUUAGUUUUUUGUUUAUCUUUUCACUCAAAGUGCUUUCCCUCUUUGUCACUUUACCCUUAAAAUGGCUGAAAACUCAUGAGUUGUGGCUAAAUCUAUUACCAACAAAGGAGUCAUCGUCUCCUAUACCCCAGGUAGUGACAGGACACUCCUCUCAUGGUCAAUGAGAUAGACCUCAACAAUCCAAACAAUGAGCAAAUUGUACAAUACAUUAAAAAGCUCCAAGCAACUCUCAAGCAAUAUAAAUCUCGGGAGAAGGCCUCAUUCAUGGCUCCCAGAAUAAGGGAGGAAGUUUCUUUCGAGACCCCAAAGACAUGCAGUCCAAAAGAAAGGCCAAACUAGAAGAUGAGAAAUCAUCAGACGAGACCCCAAAAGAUGUCAAUUGGAAGUAGUACUAGAAGAAGCAAGAUGAAGAUUAUGGUUUGGACAACUCUUCACCCCUAUCAGAGGAAAUUCUUGCAAAGACUUUUCCCACAAAGUUCAAGCUGUCUAGUUUGGACAAAUACGACGGGAUGGUAGACCCUAGGAGUCAUUUGGCUAUCUUCUGAACUACGAUGCAGCUCCAGGAUGUCAAUGAAUUUGUAUUGUGCUGAGUCUUCUCGUCCACUCUCACAGGUUUGGCCUAAAAAUAGUAGCAGCAUUUGAGUUCAAGUUCUAUCUACAAUUUUACACAACUUGCUAUAUUAUUUAAAUCUAAGUUUGCUACUUGUAUAUCUCCUAAAAAAAUCUCCUCCGACUUAUGAAAAAUCCGACAAGGAGAGCGCGAGUCUUUAAGGAGUUUUAUCUCAUGUUUCAAUGUUAAAGCAAUACUGAUUGAAGAAUUGAAUCACGAGAUAGCAUGUGAGGAAUUAAAGAAAAGGACUCGCAACAUAAAAUUUAUGGAUUCGUUAAUCAAGAAUCCAAUAGCCACUUAUUAGCAAUUAAUGGAUAAGGCACAAAAAUACAUUUGGUUGAAUGAUGAAGUCUAGGCGCUAAGAGAGGAUAAGAAGACAUGUCAAAGUAAAACCUAGAAGCCAAAAAGGCAAGGCUACAAAAGAGAUCGGAAGAGGUAUCCCGUGUUUCGAGGGAAAGAAGAUCGAGGUAAGUAAUACACUCCUUUAAAUGACUCACGCACACAUGUUUUGAUGUGGAUUAGAAAAAACGACAAAGAGGUCAAAUGGCCCAUCAAGCUUAACCCAGACAAAGUGAACAUGUGGGACAGAAUAAAGUAUUGUCGAUUUCAUGAAAAUCAUGGGCACACUACAGAAGAAUGCAGGCAACUAAAGGACGAGAUUGAAAGUCUCAUUAGAGAUGAAACUAUAAUGAGAUUUGCUAUAAAAGAUAGAGAAGAAAAAGGGUCAGAGCCUGAGGUAAGAUCACUGGUCAAUCUUGAUGAAAAUGAAUCUGUAGGGGUUAUUCACAUAAUUGCAGGGGAUCAAGUAGCGAUAAGGAAACCAAGGUUUUGUAGAAAUAAAAUGUCAUUAAUAUUCAAUUCCUAAGUCAAAAUCUGAAUCUUUAACAUAGAAGAUCCAAUCCUUAAAAUAGUUUGACAUAACAAGAAGGGAUGCCGAGUCUAGUGAGUUAGGCGAAAACCAGAAGGGACUAUAUAAGGUCUCCAAGGUUAUUCGUCCGAAUGAUUAUAAGUUGGUCAAGUUAGAUGGCUAUGUCAUUUUUUAUUCUUGGAGUAUUGUGUAAUUCAUGGAAAUAUUAUCAAUAAAAUUAUGAUGUAUUUUUCAAUUCUUUUAGUAUUUAAAUUAGAAUUAUCAGAAACGAUAGAUUCAUGAAAGCGUUGGGCUAAAUAAAAUGCCAUAAGGCGGGUAAUCGCCAGGCAAGCCACAAGGCGAGUGACUGCCAAGUGAAUCUUUAGGUAUUAGCCCCAAAAGACAAGGGUUAAGACAAUUUCUAUCAAAAAACGCCACAAGACGAGUGACCAUUAAGCGAGUUUUCGAGUGUUAAUCCUAAAAUAUAAGAAUUAAGGCAAUUUAUGUCAAAGAACACUACAAGGAGAGCAAUCGUCAUACAUAUGACCGAGUUUCAAACCUAUUAAUAAAGUUUAAGGCAUUUUUUGUCUAAACCUCGAGGUGGAUAACUGACAAGCAAAGGUUCGGGUGUUAGCUUAAAUCAUUAAAUAUUUUAAGUUAAUUUUACGCCGUUAUUUUUAUGUUGUUGGUAUCGAUCCUUAUACUUGAUAAAAAUAAAGACGAGAUGAACAAAAUAUUUUCUCAUUAAUGGAGGGAAAAGAUUAUAAAGCAGGAGGGUCUUCUUUGCUAACCCCCUCUUGAGCUCCUAUUAUAUUUUCUACUAUAAUGACAUCUUCAAUUAAAGUCGAAUCGAAAGAAUGGUUGCUAUUUUGCCUCUCCUCUACUUGUUCCUCUUCUUCCUCCUCCUUUGGGAAAAUGUCAUCGAUCCAAGAGAAGUUUUUUGAAGGAUAACGCUUGAUUAGCUCCUUCUUGACAGAAUCUUGGCCUUCCAAAAAUAUUUUCCCACCCCGAGCCACUGUCUAUUGAAGCUCAGCUUCCAGUUCAGCCACCCUAUCUAUGAUGGCUUGGUUCUUUUGAGCAUGAGACUACUGCUCCUGGACUUGCCGUUGAAGGAUAGCCACUUGAUCCUUGGCGGUUUUAGUUCGAUUCUCAAGGGCGAGCUUUGAAGUGUUGGUUUCAUCUAGGUCUGCCUGGAGUUUAUCUACAGACUUGAGGGUCUCGUUCAUUGUGUUCUCUACCUCGGUGAUUCGAGCCUUCAGCCUUAAGUAUUCCUCUCGAAGGAGGUUUUUGUCUGUUUCCUGACUACUGAACUCUCUCCUCAAAGCUUUGUUCCGCUCCUUGGCUAAGUAUGUGCAUAGGAUGCUUUCCAUGGCAGAGUGAAUGAUGUUGUCAUAUAGUUCGUCUAUCUCAACAGCACCCAGACGAUGGCGGUCAUUGGGUCUCAAGGAAUUCUUGGCUAUAAGGAUUAACAACUGGGGUUUCUCAAGAAGCGAGUCCACCUAGGUCAGCGCCAUUGCCAAGUGUUGAAUGCCUUGUGGCCACAGGGCUCCAGUUCUAGCCUCCUCGUAUUGUGCACUGAAUUGAUGGGGCGAUACUAGAGGAACAUCCCUGGAGGAAGACUCGAGUUGGAUGAUAAAUGGCUCAAUUGUAGUUGAGGGUGGAGGAGGAGGAGGAGGCAAAAUGAUAAUCUCUUCUGCCCAUCAUGCCCGUUUUGGAGGAGGGCCCACAGUACUAGUAGUGGACUUUCUUUUUCGGGCAGCACGAGCUACCUUUGCAAACUUGCUCUUUCCUUUACCCGCCAUAUCUGCAUAAAACAGAGAGUGAGCAAGUAAAAUAAUGUAAAGGUAAAAAUGGUUAAAAAGUAAAAUACCUUACUCUGAGGAAGACAAUAAAAUCAUCCUUGGUUUCUGAUAACCGGUUGGCCGAGGCAACUGGGCUCGUUCUAUUUGGAAGUGGCUUUGCCAGGAUAAGGUGGCGUUCCUCACGGCCACGUUAAUGUCCAUUCUGUGGACCGAGGCCAUUUUCUAGAGGAAGUCUAGAGCCUUUUCCUCGUCUCUCUACAGUUGAACUCCACUAUUUGGAAGUGGCUUUGCCAGGAUAAGGUGGCGUUCCUCACGGCCACGUUAAUGUCCAUUCUGUGGACCGAGGCCAUUUUCUAGAGGAAGUCUAGAGCCUUUUCCUCGUCUCUCUAUAGUUGAACUCCACCCUUUUUGAGCUCCACAUAAAUGUUCCAAUCAGUCUGGAGUUGUCUAAAGCCCCCGAACACUCGGUGGUAGACAAUGAAAGACUUAUUUUUUCAAUGUUUCAAGGAAGAGAGGAUAUGGUCAAAGAGAGUCUGACUUUUUUUCGCUGAAGAACCAAAACUCCUUAUUCCUCCGGAUUCCUAGCUAGUAUAGCUGGGAGAAGAGAGCAACUCUCAGAUUGUUAUUAUUAUUGAAGCACACAAAUCGAAAGGCCACGGGAAUCCUCCAACUGUUUGAAUGAAGUUGGGCGACUACAGUUUAUGGAUUUUGAGGAUUUCAAUGAAAAAUGGGUCAAUCGAAAAAUGAAGACCCACCUUCAACUAUUCCUCGUAUACCAUGAUGGUAUCUUGAGCAGUGAUCUGGUCAUUUACGUGAACAUUUAGAUUAGGAGCGGAAAUCAUGAAGAUCUCUUUGGAGAUCUUGUAAUGGUCAUGAAGACUAUCUACGUCCAUCUCAGUUAGCACAAAUGGGAUGUCAUUCACCUGAAGGAUAUCAUUAUCAUGGGCUGACCUCAAUGGAACUACAGGAGCCAGAGCACGAAUGGGGCCGCUGGAGGAAGAGCUGGGGGUUGAACUACAAUGAGAAAAAGAACAAGAAGACAAAGAGGACCUGUUCAUUUCUAAAGUAUGAAAAAAGACAAAAGUAGGAGUUACUUUCAGAAAAUGCAAGAGCCUAAGGCCGAGAGUACUAAUCUUUUCAGAGCAGAAGUGGUGAUCGUAGGCGAAAGGGAGAUUUUAUAUUGUUGUUUCGACAGCUGAUCUAAAUGUGGCUUGAGAAGUAAGGCAAAGCAGUAUUGAUGACUAGUACAGGCGAAAAGAAGUGGAUAUGGAGAAUCAAUUUGUGCAUGUCACAUGUCCAACACCAUGAGAACAGCUAUAAUUUUUGAAUCUGAAGAGUCGAAGUCUGAUGGGAGGACUUCUGAUAUGACACAAUAUUCCCCCAAAAUAUGCCAUUAGCUGUCACCAUACGACAGAGUCACGUGGCAAGACCUUAAUAAACCAUGACAUUCGCACGGAAGUCUCACCCACGAGAGAGGAGAACUUGUCAUUGUAAAGGUCAAUGCUCAAAACGACUGAAGACUAGUCCUCUUAUUACUGGUCGAGCAUUUCUUGUCACCUAAGUUAUCGUUAAAAGAGAUUAUACAACAUAUCCCCAUUACGUCUACAAAUGUGAGGUUUUUUAUCCACUAGCCGAUACUAGUCGGAUUUCUAGAAAAAUCACCAACUAACUCCAUCUUUUUUAGUAUAAAAGAAGUAUACACAGAGUUCAAGAUACGCAUUCUUAUAUACUUUUCUUAAGUUCAAACAACUUAUUUACACUCGCUCUUUCUGAUAAUUACUGACUUAAACGUCAAAGUGGUUGCCCAUAUACAUCAACUACCUCACAUUUUUUCUUUUGCAGAGUAAUCAAUUCAGCUCCUUUUCUACCACAUCAAAAAAUAAAAUCAAUUUUAAAAAAAAUAAACACAGCAAAAUAAUUUUUAAUAUUUAAAAUUUGCAUAAAAUAGAUCACUAUUAAAAAAAUUAAAAAUGUAAUUAUUUAAAUUUGGUUAAUCUUAUCUUUGUCUCUAACUUUGAAUAUAUACUCAAAUUUAUAUUUACUUUUAAAACAUGUUUAAUAUCUAAAAUAUACUAGUUCAUUGAUUGAUGAAUAGUAACAAGCCAAACAACAAGAUUAAUUAAGGCUCAAAGAAAAUAAAGACAAUUUUCUAAAGGAAUUCUAGCAUCCAAGCCCAAAAACUUGACUUAGUAACAGAUCCAAAAAUAAUAUAUGGAGCGCUACUUAUGUUUUAAAACCACUGGCAGUCGAAGGAGAAGGAGACCAUUUAAAGAGAAAGAGAAUUUCAGAACAUAGUCAGGAAGAUAAACUUGUAAAAACACCGACUAGAGACCCAUAAAGAACCUCCAACCACCAAAAGCUUCAAAUACUAUAAGGAACAAGAAUAAGAACUAGAUCUAACCAUUACUGAGGUCACACCAUCAAAGAGAAACGAGGGUUCAACAUCAGAAUCGAGACAAGGCUGCAUCCAGAGUCAAGGAAGGCAACAUGCAAUCCAAAAAUAGCAAGAGAAGUAACCAAAACAGUGAACUAACUAAGCAAAUCUAACCUUAGUGGGAAAGGAGCCGACAAAAAGAAAUGAAGAGUCCUUUCUUAAGAUUAGAGCGACUACUUCACUUAGGAUAAUGGGGAGCGAUAUGUAAUCCAAAUAAAAAAGUAGGGCUACCGCCUUGCUCCACCCCUGAAAGAAAAAAAUUAUAAGAGCACCAUAAUUGAGCAACUCCAACAUGAAAAAGGCAACAAAAAAAAAAAACAAAAAAGAAAAACAAAAACAAAAAUUGACAACCCAACAGAAACUCUCAACUAAGUCUCAUUGCCAACAACAUCAAAACAAGAAAGUAUUUACACUCCACUCAAUAAUGGGAGAAAAAACCCAAAUCGGGAAGAGGGAGGCUCCUAGACCGGAAGGGUAAAAAAGCUUUUAAAAGGCAUAAGCACUAAUAAACCCGAAAAAAGGACUAAAUUAAAGAGAGAAAAAAAAAACUCUCUGGCUAAUGGAGAAAUGAAGCUUUUUGAAAACAUGUUAAACUUUAAUUUAAGUGUUAUUAAAAUCUAUAUUACCUACUAUAUUGACAUAAAUUUUCUUUUAUUAUUUAUAUUUUAAUUAUUUAAAAAAUAAUUUUCAUUUUUUAAGUAAUAUUAAAUUUUUGUAAUUACUUUUUGUAAUCAUUUUGGCUCUACAUUUCAAAAAAAAAAUUAAAAAAAUAUAUAUUUUUUAUUUUUUUAGUGUUUAGAAAUCUCAAAAAAUUUAAUUAAUGAAAAUUUUUUUUAAUUAAAUAAAAAAAUAAUUUAUUCUUUUAAAAAAAAUCAUUUUUUACAUGUUGAGACUCUUAUAAAGCUUUAUAUAUAAAUUUAUUAAUAAAUUUUAUUUUUUAAAUUAAAAUUAAAUAAUAAAAAAUAAGUUAUUUCAUUAAAAAAAUAUUUUUUUAAAUAUAAAUUAUUUUCAUAAAUAAAAUAACUAAACGUAUGAUUUUAUAAAAUUUAAAAAUAUUUUAAUUAAGUUAUUUUGAAUUAUAAAUGAGAUAAUGAAUUUUUAAAAUAUAAGGUUAUGAUAGUAAUUUUUAUUUAUAUUAUUAAAAAAUUGGCUAAAACCUACCGUGCACGUGUAAUCACAUGGACCCUACCCAUCUAAAGCAUACGGAUAUAAUUUAUCUAUUCUUUUUUUGUUUUAUUUUGUUCCUUUCAAUGAAGCAAUUUGCCGACAUCAUCAUCGAGCGAAGGUUAUUUUCUAUAGUUACUUAGUUUUAUAUAAAUAAAUUUAUUUAAUUUAGAAUAAAUUUACUUAAAUAAAAAAUAAAUGUGAUUUAAUAUAAUCUAGAAUUGAUCUCUUGAUUUUGUAAUAUGAUAAUUUAUAAAUUAAAUAAAUUACAAAAAUAUUUUCAAUUUAAAAGAGAAAAGUAAAGUUUUAUUUUGGAAAAAAUUGUGAUAUUUUUUUAAAAAAAAAUCAAAUUGAUAAGCACGGCCAUGGCCGGACAAAGGUCGAGUGUUUGGAUAUUUGAUGCAAUUAGGGGUUUUCAUAGAAACGUGGCUUCUUUUGGUUUAGCUUUCAUGGCCCAAUCAGGCACAGCCACUCGUCAUUCAAAUGUUUAAUGCAAAGUGUAGUGCCCUGCCCUCCACACUACACUUUAUAUUUUUUAUUUAAUUAAUUAUUUAUGCAAACAAAUUUAGACUUAUCGAGCGCAUAAAUCGGUUUGAAUUGAAAAACUGAAUCGAGCCGAUUAAUUUUGGUUUAAUGGUUCGGUUAAUUAAAAGGUUCGGUUCAGUUCGGUUAGUAUUUUUCAAUUUAUUCGAUUUUCAGUUCGAUUCGAUUUAAACGUGUUAAAUAAUUGAAAAACUGAAAAACCGAUUUUAUAUAUAGAAAUACUAAUUUUAUAUAUUUUUAAAUUUUAUAUGAAUUUUUAUGGAUUUUUUAAAUAUUAUUAUUAUGUAUUCAAACAAUAUGUAUUGAUAAAUUUAUGUGAAAUAUUUAUUAAAUUAUUCUACUGAAAUUAAAAGUAAAAAAUUAAAAAAAUUACAGAUUUUUAUUUAAAUCAAAUCGAUUUUUAUCAGUUCGAUUCGGUUUGAUUAUAUUUUUAUAAUCAAUUUUUUUAAUUUUUAAUAUUUUUAUACUUCAGUGUUCGGUUUUUUCGAUUUGAUUUAAUUCGAAAUCAAACCGACCGAUUGCAGAGCCCUACUCAUCACGUAAAAUCUAAAUUCAAAACUAAAUUUUUUUUUUUUAAUUUAAAUUUAUCUCAAAUAUAAGAUAUCCAAAUCCACCACAGAAGUGGAAAGUCAUAUCAUGGUUAUCGCAUUAUCUAAUACAGUUCCUAUCACUGUCUGACCUUAUGCAGUUUUGAUAAUUUUUUAAAUAAUAAUUUCUUAAUUUCUUAUAUUUUAUGUAAUCCGAUUCUACAUAAAUUUUUUUAUUUUUUAUUAUAUUAAAAUAUCUUUUUAAUAUAUAUAUAAAUAAAGUAAAUAAAAAUUAUGAGAUUUAUAAAGUAAUAAAUUUAUUAUUUAUAAUUUUAAGUGUUUAUUUUAUUUUCUAACCAAAGUUAGACAUUGUUUAAAAAUAAUUUUUAUCAAAGUGAGAUAUUUAUUUUAAAAUUUUAUAAAAUAAUAAUACCCUUUGCUAUGACAGCUGAGGAAAAGGUGAGUAUCUGGGGAGUGGAUAUACCGUUUGCCGACACCUUCAAUUCCACUGCUAUUAUGUGGACGCCACUCCACCGUCCAUAUUGAAUCGGACCCACCAGCUCAAUCAAUCCACUUCCUGUCAGUUCAAUUAAAUUAGGUUGUGUUGGGUUAUGUUUUUUUUUAAAAAAAAAAAAUUAGAUAAAAAAUUUAAAUAUUUAUUAAUUUUUAUAUUUAUAUCUUAAUUUUAAAAUUUUAAAUAAUAAAAAUAAUACUUUCAUAUUUAUCUUAAUUUUAACUAUAUACUUUAAUCAAUUUUAAUUAAAAAAUUUUUAAUUCACAUUUUUAAUUCACUCUAAAAUUAUUUUUUAAAAUAUCUAUUAAAUAAAAAAAACAAAACAUUUACAUUAAUUCAUAUUUAUAUUUAAAUUAUUAUCUAAAAUUUUUUUUAUCACCUCUUAAUUAUAAUAAAGAGAAAUAAAUUAAAUAUAAAAAUUAUUAAAAAAUUACAAUAUAAUUUUUAAAAUUUUAUUUAAAUAAUAAAAUAAUCUUUAAAAUACAUAUUUUUACUUUAACAAUAUUCUUUUUUUAUUAAUCUCAUUAUUUAUUUUUCAUUAUCAUUUAUAUAUAUAUAUAUAUAAAUAUAAAUGAUAAUGAAAAAUAAAANNNNNNNNNNNNNNNNNNNNNNNNNNNNNNNNNNNNNNNNNNNNNNNNNNNNNNNNNNNNNNNNNNNNNNNNNNNNNNNNNNNNNNNNNNNNNNNNNNNNNNNNNNNNNNNNNNNNNNNNNNNNNNNNNNNNNNNNNNNNNNNNNNNNNNNNNNNNNNNNNNNNNNNNNNNNNNNNNNNNNNNNNNNNNNNNAUAUGUAAUAUUUAUAUACUAUACUUCAUAUGGUGAAAAUUUAUUUAUAAUAAAUAUUUAUUUAAUAUUAUAUAUAAUAAAUACAAAGUAAAUUUACUUUUAAUAUAAAAUUUAAAUUAAAAAAUUAUAUGUUUAUUAAUAUAACAAGAGAUUAUAUUAUAAUUUAUUAUUAAUUUUUUUUAAAUUUAAUUUAAUCUUUAAAUUAUAAUUAUGAUCGAUCGACAAAGAUUUAAUUUUAUUAUAUAAAUAUUUAAAAUUUUAGAUAUAAAUAUAAAUUAAUGGUUUGAAUUUUUUUAUUCAAUAAAUCUUUUAAAAAAUAAUUUUAUAUACUAUAAUUUUUUUAUUAAAAUUAGUUGAGACAAACGCCUAAAAUUAAGAAAUAUAAAAAAAUUAAUUUUAUUAUCUAAAAUUUUAUUGCUGGAAAAAAUUUGUUUUCUAAUAAUUAUUAAAUUUAUAUAGUAUUAAAUAAUUUAUUAUUUAAAAUUUUAAUUUUAAAAAUAUUUAAAAUAUUAUUACAAUUUUUAAAAAUUUAUUAAUUAAUCUUUUUUUAUUUUAACUAUUUGAAAAAAAAUUUUAAAAUACUCUUAAUUAGAAAGAUUAAUAAAUUUAUAUUUUUAUAAAUUCAAAAAAUUAAUUAAUUAAUUAUUUUAUGUUAUAAAUAUUAAAUAAUAAAAUAUUUAAAAUUAAUGAAUAAUUGAUUAAUGGAUUUUUUAAUACUUCAUUGGCGUUUUUAAUGUGCUUUCAAAAUUAAAUAAUUAACUAAUAAAUUUUUUUAUAUUACAAAAAUUAAAUAAUAAAUUAUUUUUUAUUUUUUAUCUUUUAUUUAAUAAAAUAAAAAUGUAUAGUUUGUUAAUAUUCUUACUUAUUAGAAAAUGAUUUUUAAGUAAAAGAACUCAAAACUGAAAAUUGUAAAUAUUUAUUAAAAUAUUUUUUAAAAUAUUAAAAAUAUAUCAACCAAUUAUUUUAUUAAUUUUAAUUGUUGAAUAUUUUGCUAUUGAGUACAUAUUAUAAAGAAAAACUCAAUAAUUAUUUUUUAAUUUUUUAAAAAUAUUUACUAAUUAAACUUUUGUAUAAUAUUAUUUUAAAAUUUUUUUAUAAUAUUUAAGCGUUAAAAUAUUUUAAUAUAUUUUUUAAAAUCAAUAUAUUAAUUAAUGAAUUUGCAUUUAAUUUAAAUAAAUAAUAAAAAUAAAAAUUGCUUUUAAUUUAAAAAAAAUAAAAAUCCUAUAGUGUUAUAAAAAUAUCAUUAGUUAAUUAAUUUUUUUAUCAAUAAAUAUUUAGAGAGGGAGAUGAAAAUCAAAUUCUCAUUACCAGUAAGUUUUCAGAUAUACUUUAUUAACCUAUUUAAUAAUAUAACAAAUAUUUAUUAUCAAUAAAAUAUUUUCAUUUGAUUUGUUCUACUUAAUGUCCUAAACAAUAAAAAAUAUGCAAAAUAUUUUUUUUAAAAAUGUUUACAUAAAUAAUAAUUUAUUUUCUAUAAUGCAAUUUAAAGAAUAAAAAAUAUUAUAAAGUUAUAUAGUAAUUUAUAAAAAAAAUUGUCAAAAAACAGAAACUGAAUUAUUUUUUAAGAAACAAUAUUAUUUUUUCAAAAAAAUUAAUAUCUCAUUUGUUAAUAAUAUAUUUUUUAUUAAUUAUUUUUUUUAGUGUAUCAAAUAUUAAAAAUAUAAAAAUAAAUUUAUAAAUAAAAUCAAUGGAUACUAAAAUCCACUUUUAUUUAUUUUUUAAAAGAAAUAAUUAAUUAUCUUCCCACAUUUUCGGUUAGAAACUGAAAACUUCUUCAGAAGUGGAUAAUGAUCCGUCAACUCCACAAGUCCUAAGACCUGGGCCAAAUCGCCCAUGUCGUUUUGUCCUUUUAUUUGAUCUUUCUUUUUUCUUUCUUUUUUCAGCCAAAAAAAAAAUAUUUCGAGAAUAAAUUGUUAAGAUUUUUUUCCCGAAGAAAUUGAAAAAUAAAAAAUAAAGGUAAGAGAUUUUUUUUUUUUCCCUUUUAAAAUUUGAUAGAAAAUUCAACCAUAAGUAGAAAAUUGAAAUAGAUAUGCUUUGGGAAGAACCAGGCUUCCAUCGCUUAUAAAUAGCCUCCACACCUGCAAUGUCUCUCUCUCACAACACACCAUACCACAACCCAAAUCCUUCUAUUUGUCUCUUUUCUUGUGCUUAUUGCUUGAAUCACCACCAUGGCCGAAGAAAAGCACCGCCACCACCUCUUUCAUCGCAAUAAGGACGAGGAGAAACCCACUGGGGCCGCUGAUGUCUACUCUCAGACUUCUGAGUUCUCUGAGAUUACGGAUUAUCCUAGCAGCUAUAAGACUUCUGAGUUCUCUGAGACUACGGAUUAUCCUAGCAGCUAUAACUCACCACCUGAUGCUCCAGACUACGAAAAAGAAGAGAAGCAACACAAGCGUCGCGAGCAUUUGGGCGAACUCGG
rnacentral:lncRNA from 1 species